rnacentral:lncRNA from 1 species
GGUCAUGCACAAGUGGUGAACGACUGGAAGGGGCGGCACCACGACGGUCAAGGUGGUUCAUACCCAGCCGGGGAGGACGAUGCACUGCGAUGGGCACGGUAAGAUGUUGCAGCAGCGAACAAGGAGGCGGAGAUGCACAAAGGAGAGGAGGAAAAGCGCGCUCUGGUACUAAUCCAAGCCCGGCGGCAACUCCCCCAUAUGGUACGAGUUUGUUACCCCCUGCCGCGGGGAAAGAAUAUUUGGAUGAUACAAGGGCUUAUAUUUUUCUGUUUGUACGUGCUCUUAUUGGGAUGAUACGUGAUGAUGAAUAUUGGGUGUAACAAACUGAAUCCUAGAAUUAUUGGAUGCAUAUAUUCCUUCAUACUUUAGUGGUGAAUAGAUAGAAUUCACAAAUGUUUUCAUGGAUAGUUGGAUUCGAUUUUUCAUAUUCCUCCCUACACAGGCUGGGCGGUUUGAGUACAUGGAAACAUAAUUAUAUCCUACAAACCCUUAUUUGGUUUGCUUUCAUCUUUAUGUUGUUGAGUAAAGAAUCAGGAAAUCAUAUAAGGCACCUUGUAUCAUCUAUGUUUCCCCAUAGUGUAUUUGGUUUGUUUGCUUUGGCUAUUGUUGCUGCCAUCUCAAGCGCGACUGAAAAUUGCCAACAUCAGCAUCUUAGUCAAAACAGUUUAGUUAUUAUACUAUACAGAUGAAGCUUAGUGUUUCGUAUGCAGGAUCAAGAUACUCCAGUUUCUGCAUAAGUUCUCCUUGGUACCAAUUUGCAUAUGUGCAGGGUCGGAGCCUUUGGUCUGUUUGCAACUAGAAUUUCAGACACUGGUACAGAGUACGUGUUGGGAAUAUAUACUGAAGGUAUGGAACAUGUUUCUAUUAUUUCCUGAUGGAAUUUGAAAAUUGUUCUUAAAAAGAAACAUUAUAUUGGUGGUUCCUUAUUUUUUUCUGUACAAUUUAUUAAACUUUAGCAAUUCACGAAGCUUGCAUACAUAUAGAAACCCAAUGUAGAUAUUUGUUGUUGGUGAUGAUGAGAAAUCAUGUAUUUGCAUUCAGUGAGAAGAGCCUAUAGCAAGUAGCUCCAUGCGUCCUAUUCGUAUUGUAGCUGGUAUAAAUUGAAUGUAGGAUGUAGGAUCAAUUGUAGAAACUCUAAAUAUUUGUUCAGUCCACAUAACUGGAUUAGUUAGUUGCCAAUAUAUCGCUCGAUUUUAAGCUGGAGAUUUUCCCCCAAAUUUUGUAGCAUAAUAUUUUCUACUGAACAGGAAGAGUUCAGAGCAGGUAGUGGAAUAAAGGUGAUGAACAUAGCUAGCCUAACUUUUUUUUAUUUGUUUGCUCUAGCCAAAAAGUUGGCUCAGCUUCUCCAAUGUUAUUUUGCCUGAGUCAAUAUCAGUACAUGAUAUUUGUUUGUUCCAGCCAAAAAGUUGGUUAAACAUUCGAUGUGUUUGUUGGGCAUCUCUGCCUAAAACAGAAGUUCAAUUCUAAGUUCAAAGUUAUCAGCAUGUAGUAUUGUAAGCUGAUGGUUACCAGGAGAACAUAACAUUGAUAUUUUCUGACAUUGAUCAUAGCUUUGUGCAGUCCGAAUUUUAGGUCAGACUUCAAAGUGCGACGGAAAUAAAAAUAGUUGUACUAGCUGCUUUUAAUGGAUGCAGAUGCUGAGUCCCGGGCUUCCCCGAACUUGGCUCUCCAGGCUGCAAUCGACGGAGGCCGGCCUUGCUUAUCUCCCCUCAUGGCCGAUCAAGGAGGCGAACAGUGUCAAUCUGUCAUCGACACCUCAGGGUAUGGCCGCCACAUCUGGUAAAAAUUUCACAACAGUACUAUGAUUGAUUGAAUGACAAGAAUGCUUCUAUUUCGUCAGUUUAAUUUAGUCUUUGGGCUAUUCGUGGAGAACACACACUCCAUGGUCCAGACUUGUGACUGUACUUAAGUAGAAGAUGGAAUUAUUCUAUGAUCUCUUCAUGGUUGAUCACCGGGUUGCAAGUGAAAUUUGUGUAUGGACUGUGGAGCGUCAGUAUCAUAGUCAUGAGUCGUCAGGCUUCAGUCAUGUGUACUUGGUUGGACAUAUAUGAAGCGUAAGGGACUAGCUCAUUCACACUUGAGAUUUAGUAAUGUUCUUACAAUCAUUUAUUUAUGAUCUGCAGGUCUAAAAAACAAGCACCGGGUCCUUCUCCUCCAUGAAUCAGAUGUCAACAAGGCAACACGAAUCUGCAUGAGGCUGAACAUAAAAGAAAGAAAAUGGAGACAACUCGACGAGUUUAGGAACAACAUGUCAUCGACGAUGAGCACUUUUCCAGUCAGGGAAAGGAUUUUUUUAUGCCACGCUAGGACUUUUCGUGGUAUGGAUUGAAAUAGUCCAGUGUCCAGUAUUAUGGGAUUCACUCAAUUCAAUGCUGCUUCAUACUUCAGAGUUCAGACAUUUAUAUGUGCACAACAUGUGCCUUCUAAUUACGAGGUAAAAACUUCAAAUUGUUUUUUCGUCUACACAUAUGCGGUGAUGACGCUGGAUGCUUCGUAUCAUCACAAAGAAGCCGGCCAAGUUCCUUAGUUCCUUGUGACUUCAAACGGACUGAAUUUUGCAUUGUAGGCGUCUACUGUUUCUGAAUUUUAGGGUGGCAGCAACAAGGGCGAGGAGCAUGAUCGUGACACAGAGAUGGGCAAGUGCAGGGAAUGCAGGCAGCGAAAAGUUGUUGCGUUGCGGUUACCAACUACAGGGCCAAAUAUGUCGGCAGCCAUCCGCGCAUUAACUAAUUUAUGGCAGGUGAGGAUGAUAUAUUUUUCUUUUAUUAUCAGUAGUCAUAUUUUUCAUAUUCAAAUCCAAAUGUAAAUGUUCUAUUGCCUUGUACCAUACGGAACUAUUGACUGUGCUUGAUCUAGCCAGCUGGUAUUUUUUUAUAGUUGUUUCUCAUGAAUGAAGGUAAUUAUGAUAAGCAACGGCAUCAGGACAAGAAACAAUUUUAAGAGAACUGAAAUAUGCUAAAAAUAGUGAGGGUGAAAGUUUGUUCCAUUAAGUACUAAUCUAAUGAUAUAUAUGUACAUCAAAGGUUGCCUGCCAGGAGCAUUGCCUCCAUUCCAUUGGUUUGCUGUGCGUUGAGCAUUUAUUUGCAAGAUGCGAUAUAAUCCAAGGCACCUUCCUGAUAAAGAGAGAAAUCAUGUAUAUAAUCUUUGUAUAGCAGUAUACAUGUGCAUAUGUUUUAGAGUGUAUAACAUGGCCAUUGAUAAUUUUGUUAUUAAAUAGUGCUUUUGCUGGAGAUGGAAAUUCAUAGAGAUGACGCCCUAUUGAUAGAGGCGAGUGGACUGGAGGUGUGCGUUGCACUGAGGGCAAAUCAAAGGCUGAAAGUUUGUCAAAUUUCCUGUGCUUGGGUAUGGCUGGUUUGUAAGCAAAUGAGGAUACUCUGCCUUUUUACAGUGGUAUAUUGUUUAGUGAGGGGAAGGUACUCUCUUUUUCUAGACGGAAGAUCAUCUGCUUUGUGGCAAGGGGAUAUAUCGUGUUACUUCUCCCCCAUUUUGGUAUGUCUAAAUUCAGUAACAAGAUUAUACUCCUUGUUAAUUUUCCACGGCGUAACUUCGUAACUACGCGUUUCUCGUGUCGAGGCCAAUAUGCUUAAUGAGUCGGUUAGUUUUAAGUAAGCAUAAAAAACAUUGAUGUGCAAUCUUUUAUUGGUAAUGCAGUGAACAAAUAAAUACUUGAAUGUGAACCACUCUAUUUUGUGCAUCAGAUAUGGCAAGGCUCUCCUUGUGUUGUUUUCCUCCGUUUCUUGUUUUGUUUGGAAAAUGACAUAUUAUUAGCUCCAAGUUAUUGUCUGGAGAAGCUAAGACUAGGACAUGAAGAGAAAGUAACAAAGCAAAGAAAUAGUGGCAAAUAAACGAAAUGAGACAUUUGAAUGAUAUGUUGUUUUCUGGAAAUCAUCAUUAACUCAUUAUUAAUGUAGUGGUAAUACGUUGUUGCGCGUUGGAGAAGACACUGAG